CACCUGUUCCCAUGCCGAACACAGCCGUUAAGCUCUCUAGCGCCGAUGGUAGUUGGGGUUCUUCCCCUGUGAGAGUAGGACGCUGCCGGGC
rnacentral:rRNA from 1 species